rnacentral:rRNA from 1 species
GUCCUUUAGAGUUUUAUUUAAGGUCUGACCUGCCCACUGAUUAAAUUAAAUGGCCGCAGUAAUUUGACUGUGCAAAGGUAGCAUAAUCAUUAGUUUUUUAAUUAAAAGCUUGUAUGAAAGGUUGGACGAGGUAAAAUCUGUCUCUAUUUAAUUUAAUUUAGAAUUUAACUUUUAAGUCAAAAGGCUUAAAUAUUAUUAAAAGACGAGAAGACCCUAUAGAUCUUUAUAAUUUAUUUAUUAAAUUUAAUUAAGAAUUUUUUAAAUUUUAUUAAUAUAAUUAUUUUAUUGGGGUAAUAUAAAGAUUAAAAUAAUUCUUUUUUUUUAUUAACAUUAAUUUAUGAUUUUUAUGAUCCAGUUUUAUUGAUUAUAAGAUUAAGUUACCUUAGGGAUAACAGCGUAAUUUUUUUAAAGAGUUCUUAUCGAUAAAAAAGUUUGCGACCUCGAUGUUGGAUCAAAGAUUAUUUCAGGUGUAGAAGUUUGAAAAUUUUGGUCUGUCCGACCAUUAAAUCUUUACAUGAUCUGAGUUCAGACCGGUGUAAGCCAGGUCGGUUUCUAUCUUUAGUAAAUUAAAAUAUUUUAGUACGAAAGGACCAAUUAUUUAAUAUAUAUAUAUUAUUAAUUUUUGAUUAUUAUUAA